GACAUUAAUCUCCUGCCUUUGAAAAGCAGUCAUUCCCGUCUGAUCUCGGAAGGUAAGUAGGGUUGGGCCUGGUUAGUACUUGGAUGGGAGACCACCUAGGAAGAUGGGAUGCUAUAGGCA
rnacentral:rRNA from 1 species